UAGGGAAUCUUGCGCAAUGGGCGAAAGCCUGACGCAGCCAUGCCGCGUGAAUGAUGAAGGUCUUAGGAUUGUAAAAUUCUUUCACCGGGGAAGAUAAUGACGGUACCCGGAGAAGAAGCCCCGGCUAACUUCGUGCCAGCAGCCGCGGUAAUACGAAGGGGGCUAGCGUUGCUCGGAAUUACUGGGCGUAAAGGGCGCGUAGGCGGAUAUCUAAGUUGGGGGUGAAAGCCCGGGGCUCAACCUCGGAAUAGCCUUCAAUACUGGAUAUCUUGAGUUCGGGAGAGGUGAGUGGAAUGCCGAGUGUAGAGGUGAAAUUCGUAGAUAUUCGGCGGAACACCAGUGACGAAGGCGACUCACUGGCCCGAUACUGACGCUGAGGCGCGAAAGCGUGGGGAGCAAACAGGAUUAGAUACCCUGGUAGUCCACGCCGUAAACGAUGAGUGCUAGUUGUCGGCAUGCAUGCAUGUCGGUGACGCAGCUAACGCAUUAAGCACUCCGCCUGGGGAGUACGGUCGCAAGAUUAAAACUCAAAUGAAUUGACGGGGUCAUAGCUGUUUCCUG
rnacentral:rRNA from 1 species